UAAAUAUAAAAUAUGGGUCUGAAAUAAAUUUUGGAUCAAAUCUCAAGUUUAAAUUGCAUCAAAUUCAUCUAAACAAGCUCUUAAACGGCCAUAAAAUCAGUAGUAUGUCAUUUUAGUCGCCGACCCAUAUGUUAAGUCAUUUAAACAAUGACUUAAGGCCUCUAAAAGUGAGAAGACCCCCAAAUUUUAAUAAUCCGUAUAUGUUAGAGUCCAUUAAAAAAAUUCAAUUUUUUUUAUGGUUUCAAAAAAUUAAAAUCAUUUGAUGAUGAUAGCUUGCAUGAUAAAUGUCUUUAUCUCGAAAAUGCUCUCACAUAUAAAAAUUAUAUUGAUAUUGUCGGUUUAGAUUUAUUUUCGGAAUUAAAAUUUUUAAGAGAAGUUAUACAAACAAAAGAAAAGAAGAACACUCCAG
rnacentral:lncRNA from 1 species